rnacentral:rRNA from 1 species
GACGAACGCUGGCGGCGUGCUUAACACAUGCAAGUCGAACGGAAAGGCCCUGCUUUUGUGGGGUGCUCGAGUGGCGAACGGGUGAGUAACACGUGAGUAACCUGCCCUUGACUUUGGGAUAACUUCAGGAAACUGGGGCUAAUACCGGAUAGGAGCUCCUGCUGCAUGGUGGGGGUUGGAAAGUUUCGGCGGUUGGGGAUGGACUCGCGGCUUAUCAGCUUGGUGGUGGGGUAGGGGCUUACAAAGGCUUUGACGGGUAGCCGGCCUGAGAGGGUGACCGGCCACAUGGGGACUGAGAUACGGCCCAGACGCCUACGGGAGGAAGCAGUGGGGAAUAUGGCACAUUGGGCGGAAGCUGGAGGAAGAACCGCCGGGUGCGGGAUGACGGCCUUCGGGUUGUAACCGCUUUCGCCUGUGACGAAGCGUGAGUGACGGUAAUGGGUAAAGAAGCACCGGCUAACUACGUG